UCCAGCAGCCGCGGUAAUACGUUCCCGGGCCUUGUACACACCGCCCGUCACACCACGGGAGUGAGCAACACCCGAAGCCGGUGGCCUAACCCUUUGGGAGGGAGCCGUCGAAGGUGGGGCUCGUGACUGGGGUGAAGUCGUAACAAGGUAGCCGUACCGGAAGGUGCGGCUGGAUCACCUCCUUUCUAGGGAGCUCCAAUUCUGGAGCCGGCAUGGCCUCGGGCCAUGUCGCUAGGAAUAUCGACCGAGCCUGGCCGUGCGAGCACCUGCAUACCGCAGGGCUUUAGCGCGGUUGCAUGCUGUUGAGUUUUGAGAGACCGCGUGGUGAGUCCCACCCGCAUUUCUCGGCGGUCCUUGAAAACUGCACAGUAGCCACAUCACCAUCGCCGAUCGAUAAGCCGGCGAUGGUUCCUUGCGUUCACGCUCUCCAACGCGUGGACGCGAGUUGGGUAUCACCGGACCGAAGCCCUCAUGCAAUGGGGCCCGGUCCAGAUCACCGUCAAGAUAGGAAGGGCACACGGUGGAUACCUAGGCACACAGAGAAUAAAAG
rnacentral:sRNA from 1 species